GAAUGGGGGAAUGGAAGUUAAAAUUUACAUCCGGGUUACAUUCCUCCAUAAAGUUAGCUCUUCUCCAGCAGCAUGACUCACGGGUCUAUCGUUGAAGUGCGUUGCUUCCAGCAACCCAUUUGCAUAAAAGCCAGUUAUCUGAGAUUAAAGUCAAAGUUCGGAUUUUUUUCCCCCAGUGGUCUUAAUCCUCUUUCUUUAGAGAACGGCGUAUUUGUGUAAACGAGUCCACAUUUUGUGCCUUGAUCGAGCAACGAAACCUGUAACUUUCAAUCGUCAAUAGGGGUCAGUGUUUGGCCUCUUCACCGCAGUGGCUUUGUGUUGCCCCGACAACAAGCCACAACAGAAGCCGUUCCAUCAUGUCUACUUCUGUAGCAAAAGAAGGGAAAAAGAUGAGAUAUACAGUGAUGCAGAGGCCCUCUAAACGCGGCAGCAGCUUGCUCGCCUUGUCCAGCAGACGGAGUUUUACUUUCAGCGGCAGCAAAAUUCUGGACAGAAUGGCGGGUCCUACUCCGAGACAAGCUGCUCGGGUGUUUGAUGAGGAAAACAAUGAUGUGACUCCUCAGCCAUUUUACCGGGCAGAUCUCGGAGCAGAGCCAGGCAGCAGGUUCUUGGUGGAUGAACUCUCUGCUGGAUCAACAUCAGACCAGACAACGUUCACUGGGAGCUUCACUAUGCCUUUUUCAAGGUCAGUUUUGGGUAGCAGCAGGUUAUCCAGCCAGUCAACCAUAGAGUCUGUGAACGAGGAAAUGGAGGAAACAUUUUGCAGACGUGACUUUUCCUUCAGCUUACCAGAAUCUUUGUUACCAGAUGAGAAGAGGAAAAAAGGCUCAGUGAAAGACCAAAUGACACAAGCUCUGUUGAAAGGGAUUAAAGACAUUUUAAUCACAGAGACAGACACUAUUUCUCUGCUGGACAUUCCCCCCACCUUAGUGUCAGUGAAUGCUGAUGAUGCAGAUGUCAUAAUAGAGAGAAAUAAACAGUAUUCUGGAGUUUGCAGAAACAGAGGAAACAAUGAGAAGUAUGUGGAGCGAGCCAUGCAGACACUGAAUGGAGCGACUAAGAACAAACAGAUACAGAACAACCUCAUGCUCAUGGUGGACACAGCCACGAUUGUGUCCGCCUUCGACAUGUAUGCACCUCCAGAGCAGGAAGUGAUGGUUUACAGCCCUGAAAUGAAACAGACCAAUGAUGCAGAGACUGUUGUGGACUCCAGGAGAAGUCCAGAGAGGAGUCUGUCCCUGACCAGCUCAGCUAGUACAGUUAUUUCCUCCUGUUCGCUGAAAGAUGUAGAAACAGUUGGGAGCAGUUUAAACACACAGGUAGACUUUGAGCUCAUCAUGACGUCAGAUAAAUUCCAGUACGCCUUACUUCUAAUGGAGAGGACUGUACUGCGGAACAACUUCCAAAGCCAGCUGGCUGCUUACAGAAAGCUGCCUUUGCUGGAAGACCCUGACAGACUGGUAAAACCUAAGGAAGGGGAACAGAGUGAAGCAGAGACUUCCUGCUCUCCAGCCCUACAGUGUCUCUGGGUUUUCCGUUGUGAGCUCAGCAGAGGCUGUAGGGUCAGUAGCAUGGCCUGGAACAAAAAAAACCCGGACCUCCUUGCUGUAGGUUAUGGUGAGACUGACUACAGAAACCAUGAACAAGGUCUGGUGUGCUGCUGGUCUAUUAAAAACCCGACGUGGCCUGAGCGAAUCAUUAACUGUGACAGCGCUGUAACAACUGUGGAUUUCUCAUCUAACAGCCCUGGGCAGCUGGCUGUGGGGAUGAGUGACGGCAGCAUUGCUAUCCACAAUGUGCAGAGUGCAGAUAAUAAGUCACCUUUCAUCAGCAGUCGUGAAUGUGCCAAAAGACACCUUGGGCCAGUGUGGCAGCUCAGGUGGAACCAACAAGAACUGAGCUUCACUGGAGAGGAGAAGGUUGAAUCUCUGUACUCUGUGGGAGCAGACGGCAGAAUCUGCAAGUGGUUUGUCAUCAACGGUGGCCUUGACUGUACAGACCUGAUGAAGCUCAAGAAGAUGAAUAAUACCCUGAGAAAGACUGAACAGAACAAGCCAGAGAAGACAGCAGAGUGUGUGCUCUCUGUUCUCACCCCUGGUCUGUGCUUUGACUUUCAUCCAAGUGACCCCAACAUCUAUUUGACUGGUACCUGGGAAGGUAACAUCCACAAGUGUUCCUGCUCCAAUGGUCACCAGUUUCUGGAAACUUACAGGAAACAUUUUUGUCCUGUGAACUGCAUCACAUGGUGUCCUCUCCAUCCUGAUGUGUUCCUGAGCUGCUCCUCUGACUCCACCAUCCAACUCUGGAAGCAGGACUGCAUUAACCCUUUGUUAAGCUUCACCUCCAACCAGCCGGUGGCUGAAGUCAGGUGGUCUCCAAAGCACGCCACAGUAUUCGGUGCUGUUAACGAAGAGCAGCUUGAGAUUUGGGACCUGAACUCCAGCUUUUUGGAUCCGGUAAUUGUGCAGCCUGCUGCUCCUGGACUGAAGAUGACGUCCCUUCUGUUUGCAUCCCUCACAGACUGUGUUGUGGUAGGAGACAGUGAUGGCCAGGUGACGGCGUACCAGCUGCAGAACCUCCGUGUUGGAGAGAGCAGCCAGGGAGAUGUUAUUCAAGGCCUUCUCCACUCUGCAUCUCCCAAAGAACUUCAGGAGACAUUGAUGUAGUGGACACAGAGCACCAUGAUGCAUCUCUAGUUUAAAUGUAUCUACAAGUCUUCAGCUACAAGUGGUACCGGGUCAGAACCAGGCAGAUGGUGCUGCUGCUGCUGCUGCUGCUGUCGUCGAUUGAACCUCUGCUGGGCAAGCUUCUGUUUGGAGCGAUGCACAUCUCCCUGAACCCACAAGCUGUGCUGUUUCCUGCACGCACACACACACACACCCACACACACACACACCCCUUCUCAUAUUACACAAUGAGUGAUAAAUUACUCUAGCUAAAAAUAUAACUUGUUAGCAUCUUCUCAUCAAGUUGCAUCUACUGGUGAUUUUUUUGGGUGAUGUGUCCUCAUAUCUGAUGGAAACAAUUAACAGUGCUGAGAAAUAGAUUACCUCCUGCUGUUUUUCUAUCUAUAUCAGUCAAUGGGAUGGAAAUUUAUUCACUUCAGAUUGAUAAUGACAUUGACAAUGUGCAAAGCUUUUAUUAAUAAUUCAAUAAAUAAAUUAUUAAGCGAUAAGGGUUUGUUAAAAAAAACUAAAGGUUAGGACAAAUAUUUAAAACAACUGCACUUUAGCUAGAGGAAUUUCUGUGAGAAAUAAUUGUUGUCAAGAGUUAAAACUGAUUUCCAUUCUUUAAAACAAAUAUAGAAAAAUCAUUUGCUAAAUAAAUACAAAGUCUGAUUGUGAUUGUUUAUUUAUUUUUUUCUUUUACUAAUUUGUAAAUUAGAAAUAUGUUUUAGAAAAAUAUACUGGAUGAUUCUGUUGUUUCGAGUGAGAUAAUGGAUGUAGAAAAAAGUCAAGGUAUAAUGAGCCUGUGCUCCCACUUCACUUUUUUUUUACUUCAUUUGCCAUGAUCAUCAAAAGUAGAAGAAAUAAAGAUUUUAAAUAUUUCA